rnacentral:rRNA from 1 species
GACGAACGCUGGCGGCGUGCCUAAUACAUGCAAGUAGAACGCUUAAGGAGGAGCUUGCUCUUCUGUAUGAGUUGCGCACGUGUGAGUAACGCGUAGGUAACCUGCCUGGUAGCGGGGGAUAACUAUUGGAAACGAUAGCUACUACCGCAUAACAGUAGAUGUUGCAUGACAUUUACUUAACAGGUGCAUUUGCAUCACUACUAGAUGGACCUGCGUUGUAUUAGCUAGUUGGUGGGGUAACGGCUCACCAAGGCGACGAUACAUAGACGAACUGGGAGGGUGAACGGCCAAAAUGGGACUGGGACACGGGCCAGACUCCUACGGGAGGCAGCAGGAGGGAAUCUUCGGCAAUGGACGGAAGGCUGACCGAGCAACGCCGGGGGAGUGAAGAAGGGUUUCGGAUCGGAAAGCUCUGUUGUAAGGGAAGAAAGAGUGUGAGAGUGGAAAGUUCACACUGUGACGGUAUCUUACCAGAAAGGAACGGCUAACUACGUG